GCGAUCGCGCGUCGACAUCGGAUGCUAUGGCACACUCGUGCCUUAUGUGCCACCGAAGCCCCGAAGUAGUCUGGCAUAUACCUUCACAUACAAUGCCUACGCCUAGCCAGAGCAGCUCCCUCAUACAGACUCCGCAAGCCAAGAGGCCGUGGAGGCAAAUGCAGGCAGCCAGCACACCUCGAACAGCCACCUUGACUGCGGGUGUGUCACCCUAGUCGCCAAGGAGACAUUUGAGGGAAAGUGACAGGCAAUGUGAACAGCCACUUUUCCAUGUAAACAAUACUCUUUCUCUUGGAUGACUCCUACGCCUCGCCACGCCAGCACACUUGUGCACAAAGAUGCCGCAGAGAGACGUGCAGGUCAGAGGCAAGAAGCAGUGGCACUGGUGUCGACAUUUACCCAAUUUCUUUUUCUUACACUGAGGCAGCCAGCACACCUCGAACAGCCACGUUGACUGCGGGUGUGUUAGUAGAUUCCCGUUGUACAUAUGCUCAUAAUAAACUUCAGUAAACUUGAACUUCAUAAUAAACUUGAAGGCAAAUGGGACAUUGACGCAUUGUAUGUAUGAACAUUUAUUGUACACAUACAAUAUAUGUUAUACUUUGCAGUGCUACAGAGCGUAUUUUGAAGCUUCCCCCGAUAUUUUGCACCUUUAAUUACGUAUGUGUUGUGUGGCCCUCAAUGCAGUUCAUGUUGUAGCAGCUGCUUUGUCUGUGUAUCGCACAUUGGCUUAAGCUCGUGAUAUCCACAUACUUCUCUCACAUAUACAAAAUAAAGUUCUAUGUAGUCCUCAGUGUUACAACAAAAAAUGAAAGUAAACAAUCCGAUCGUGGAAUUGUGUUUAUUACAGUGGUUCCUACGACAGUUACUGACAAGUUGACAACUUGAACUGGUCAAUCGGUCCGUAGCCUCCUCUAUUUUUCAAAAAUAAAGGAGGCUAUGAUCUGUCAUGGCAAGGAAUUGUAUGUAUACAUAAAAAAGGGGGUAUGUGUGUGUUUGUAGUGGGGGGAUAGGAUUAGGGCGGUACGAAAAAAUGUACCAACACCGUGCUCUAGACCCAUUCCGUUAAGGUACCGUAACAAAGCGUAUUAUGCAUAAAGUUCAUACAACCAACUCUGAUAUUACAGACGCCAGGCGACGCGAGCUACAUUUGUCGUGAUGCAUUCGCGACUGCACCGGAUGCCCUCCACAUUAUUCUCGUUAAUCGUGCUCACUGCGCCGAGGCAAAAGAAAGAUCAUGGGCGCAGGUGCCUUUAAAGUAUCUCGACCUUGCGAGGCACGGCUGCGCGUGCCAGGCGAGCUGUCCGUGCGAACACUCCCUGGCACACACCUGCCUCGGCGGCCCCAACCUACGUACCGUUCUGCUUCGAGCUUUGAUCCCCCCCACUGUCCCUCGGGUGCCCUGGAGUUCCUGCGCCGCCUGCUCUACUAUCAUCUCAGGUGCUCUCCUGAGACUUCCGUUUGUCGGUUACAUGUGCCCUACAGCUGGAUCAUUACUUAUAAUAAUAAUAAAAAAAACCGAUCUAUCGCCACGACGAUAGAUCGCGAAAGCGGCUUUUGCAACAUACCGCGCCCGUGCGAAGAGAAUUACGGAACGCCAACGAGGAAUCUGACCACAGCUUCGAGCUGGUAACCUUGUCGAGUGACACUCCUGCAACAGGCGUGACCGCUGAAAACCGCAUACCGCCGGAAACUUGAACAGGAUCAUCCCUCGGUUGCAUAACUGCCAGCUGUACGGCCAACAUGGACCACACCCACACCAUCCCGCAACAUAGAAUAAAGAACCGACUUAUAAAGCCCAAACACUCGGCUGCACGCACACAUCACAACACUACAAGCGAGACGCCAUGCUGCUACGCUGCUACUGUUGCCGGAUUAAAACUGACUACUGUCACCAAGUCUAGCAAGCGUCUCAGGAGCUGGCAACCUC